GCCGGCAGCUAGCUCUCUGCAACUCUCACAUGGUCGCCCACUGAAGCUAAGCACGGCUGAGCCCGGUCAGUGCCUGGAUGGGAGACCACAUGGGAAAGCUAGGUUGCUGUUGGCA
ensembl:rRNA 5S_rRNA 5S ribosomal RNA